ensembl:lncRNA
UGGGAGCUAUAGUGAACCGAUGCUUAAGGUUCGAGAAUGCCCGGUCAGGCAGCUGGAGACCAUGUGAACGGGACCUUGGGAGAGGUGAGUGCUGAAAGGUUGGAAGCCAGGAUACUGUAACCCCGGAUGAAACCGAGGUAGAAAUUAGCAAACCCCAGGAAGUGUUGCAGCUGUACUCUGGAUGUGGGUUGAGGCCAAUCCACCACCUCUCUCACCUUGCCAGGAUCAUCUGCAUAUUUCCUGCAGCGAGGAUGUAUCCUAGGAAGGAGAUGGUGGAACAAUGAAAUUUGCAUUAAUCAACUUUAACAAAAAGCUGGUUCUCCAGGAGACUCAUGAUAAGACCCAGAUGCAGACAGUUCGAAUCUCAGAUGUUUAUUACAAAACAGGGGGCGGGCAAACAGCAAGUCAAGGGCAGACAGAGAUCAGUAAUCCAAGGCAGUGUAAAUCAGGGACAGAAUGGCAGGCAGAAUGGUAAAAACUGUGAGGACUCCAAAACAGAAACUGGAAAAGGGUCAAACACGCUGGUAAGACUUGACAAGACAAACUGGCAACAGAACAACAGAAAAUGCAGGUAUAAGUACACAGGGGAUAAUGGGGGGAAAAUGGGAGACACCUGGUGGGGGGUGGAAACAAGCACAAGACAAGUGAAACUGACCGGGUUGUGACAGAACUAAUAUCAUCGGCCGAUUUGUUUUUUUUAAAUAAACAUUUUCUUUAAUUAUUUAAUUUAUUUUAAUUUAUUUAAUUUAUUUUUUUUUUAGAUUUUUUUUUUAGACUAAUUCACUACCUGAGUAAGAGGAACAGCAAAACACAUUAGCUAGAUUGCUAACUCUAAACAUAAUAGGCCCAGCCACUUCUGGUGGCCAUGUAUUAAUCUAACAGUAUGUACAAUGUCCUAUAAAGGAUUUGCAGGUGUUGCCUAGGCUACUAACCAAUGAGGUCUGCACUCGCUAUACUGAUGAAAAUUUUGCUCACACUGUAUCACAAAGCCAGAUCAAAUAUUUUGGUUUUAAAACAGUUGCUAUACAGCUCAGUAUUAAGAAAUAACAAUUAUACCUAAAUUAGGCUUAGAAUCUCCUCAAAAGUGACAACAGUAGUUGCUUCCAAAGCUGUGUUUUUGUUGUUGUUGAAAUGUUACAGCCUACAAUCAGAUGUUUUUGUUGUUGUUGAAAUGUUACAGCCUACAAUCAGAUGUUUUUGUUGUUGUUGAAAUGUUACAGCCUACAAUCAGAUUUUUUUGUUGUUGUUGAAAUGUUACAGCCUACAAUCAGAUGUUUUU